UCUCCCACAAUUCUCUUUCUGCCACUCCGU
rnacentral:piRNA from 1 species